AAAGGAGUGGGUAUAGUGUAAAGAGUCCCUGCCAGCCAUGGCUUCUCCCCUUCUGUGUCACAGACUCUGAGGGCCUGGGCAUCAGCAUCAUUGGCAUGGGAGCCGGAGCCGACAUGGGCCUGGAGAAGCUGGGCAUCUUCGUCAAGACUGUGACUGAGGGUGGUGCAGCCCAUCGGGAUGGCAGGAUCCAAGUGAACGAUCUCCUGGUAGAGGUGGACGGGACGAGCCUGGUGGGAGUGACCCAGAGCUUUGCAGCCUCUGUGCUUAGGAACACCAAAGGCAGAGUGCGGUUCAUGAUUGGCCGGGAGCGGCCUGGAGAACAGAGUGAAGUGGCCCAGCUAAUUCAGCAGACCUUGGAGCAGGAGAGGUGGCAGCGGGAGAUGAUGGAGCAGAGAUACGCCCAGUAUGGAGAAGACGAUGAGGAGACAGGAGAGUAUGCCACCGAUGAAGAUGAAGAACUGAGCCCGACAUUUCCAGGGGGUGAAAUGGCCAUCGAGGUGUUUGAACUAGCAGAGAAUGAGGAUGCACUGUCCCCUGUGGAGAUGGAGCCUGAAAAGCUGGUGCACAAGUUCAAGGAGCUCCAGAUCAAGCAUGCUGUCACUGAAGCGGAAAUCCAGCAGCUGAAGCGGAAGUUGCAGAGUCUGGAGCAGGAGAAAGGGCGCUGGCGGGUGGAGAAGGCCCAGCUGGAGCAGAGUGUGGAGGAGAAUAAGGAGCGGAUGGAGAAGCUAGAAGGCUACUGGGGUGAGGCCCAGAGCCUGUGCCAGGCUGUGGAUGAGCACCUGCGGGAGACUCAGGCCCAGUAUCAGGCCCUGGAGCGAAAGUACAGCAAGGCCAAGCGUCUCAUCAAGGACUACCAGCAAAAGUAUGUGUCAGAGCUUGGGGUCUGGGGCCAGACAGGCAGAGAGGCCUUUAGUGAUAGUCCCCACCCCAGCCUUCCUCCAGCUGAGUAGAGAGAGACAGUGAACAGAGAAGUUAGAGGGCACCACGAUGGGAUAUCAGACCCUGGCCCUAGAGGCCUUGGGACAACCUACUUCUCCCUGGACCAAAGCCACACGGUACACCCUUAACCCACCAUCUGUCCCUCGCCUGUCUCCAGGGAGAUCGAGUUCCUGAAAAAAGAGACCGCCCAGCGUCGGGUACUGGAAGAGUCGGAGCUAGCCAGGAAGGAGG
rnacentral:lncRNA from 1 species